rnacentral:rRNA from 1 species
GACAGAGGUGCCGAGCGUUAGGCGGAAUCACUGGGCUUAAAGCGUGUGUAGGCGGACCCAUAAGUACCUUGUGAAAUCCCACGGCUCAACCGUGGAACUGCUGGGUAUACUGCGGGUCUUGAGCGGCCUAGGGGCAGACGGAACAAGUGGUGGAGCGGUGAAAUGCGUAGAUAUCACUUGGAACGCCGACGGUGAAAACAGCCUGCUGGGGGCCUGCUGACGCUGAGACACGAAAGCCAGGGGAGCGAACGGG